AUGGAAGCUCAGUUCUUUCAGUUUUUGAAGAUAGUUGGAGUUGGUUUCAAAGCAAGAGCUGAAUUCCAAGGGCGGCUUUUGUUUCUAAAAUUUGAAAACCGGGGCCGAAAUUGACAAGAUGGAAGAUUAUAACCACCACCACCACCGAAGGGGUGUGUCCCCCUCCCUUCUCCUCAUACCGAUCGGCCAAGAGACACCACCAAAGGAGACGCAACUGUUCGGAUAAAUGGCUAUAAAUCGACACAACUCUUCACAAGCAAUCUCAUCCACAAGAUCCAAAAGACGCGACUAUUCACGAAGAGACGUGUCCUUUCAUUCGCAUCCAUUCAAGUCUAUAAAUAGGGCUGA
rnacentral:lncRNA from 1 species